rnacentral:rRNA from 1 species
AACGUAGGAGGCAAGCGUUAUCCGGAGUUACUGGGCGUAAAGCGCAUGUAGGCGGUGGCACAAGUGGCGUGUGAAAGCGCCCGGCUAAACUGGGCGAGGACAGGUCAGACUGUGCCACUCGAGUCCGAUAGAGGGGCGUAGAAUUCCGGGUGUAGCGGUGAAAUGUGUAGAGAUCCGGAGGAAUACCAGUGGCGCAAGCGACGCCCUGGGUCGGGACUGACGCUGAGAUGCGAAAGCGUGGGGAGCGAACGGG